UACGUAGGUGGCAAGCGUUGUCCGGAUUUACUGGGCGUAAAGAGCGCGCAGGCGGCCGAGUAAGUCGAAUGUGAAAGCCCCCCGGCUCAACUGGGGAAGGUCAUUCGAUACUGUUCGGCUCGAAGAUAGGAGAGGGAAGCGGAAUUUCAGGUGUAGUGGUGAAAUGCGUAGAUAUCUGAAGGAACACCAGUGGCGAAGGCGCUUUCUGGCCUAUUCUUGACGCUGAGGCGCGAAAAGCUAGGGGGAGCGAACGGGG
rnacentral:rRNA from 1 species